rnacentral:rRNA from 1 species
UGGGGAAUAUUGGACAAUGGGCGCAAGCCUGAUCCAGCCAUGCCGCGUGGGUGAUGAAGGCCCUAGGGUUGUAAAGCCCUUUCAGCGGGGAAGAUAAUGACGGUACCCGCAGAAGAAGCCCCGGCUAACUUCGUGCCAGCAGCCGCGGUAAUACGAAGGGGGCUAGCGUUGCUCGGAAUUACUGGGCGUAAAGCGCACGUAGGCGGCUUUCUAAGUCGGGGGUGAAAUCCUGGAGCUCAACUCCAGAACUGCCUUCGAUACUGGAAAGCUCGAGUCCGGGAGAGGUGAGUGGAACUGCGAGUGUAGAGGUGAAAUUCGUAGAUAUUCGCAAGAACACCAGUGGCGAAGGCGGCUCACUGGCCCGGUACUGACGCUGAGGUGCGAAAGCGUGGGGAGCAAACA